rnacentral:rRNA from 2 species
UCGAACGAUGAAGAUUAUUAGACUUCUUCGGAAUGAAAAUAAUUGGAUUAGUGGCGGACGGGUGAGUAACACGUGAGUAACCUGCCUUACACAAGGGGAUAGCCGUUGGAAACGACGAAUAAUACCCUAUGAAACUAUCACUUCGCAUGAAGCGAUAGUCAAAGUGUUAGCGGUGUAAGAUGGACUUGCGUCUGAUUAGCUAGUUGGUGAGAAAAAAGCCCACCAAGGCAACGAUCAGUAGCCGGCUUGAGAGAGUGUACGGCCACAUUGGGACUGAGACACGGCCCAGACUCCUACGGGAGGCAGCAGUGGGGAAUUUUGCACAAUGGGGGAAACCCUGAUGCAGCGACGCCGCGUGAUUUAGAAGGCCUUCGGGUUGUAAAAAUCUUUUGUAUAGGAAGAAAAUGACAGUACUAUACGAAUAAGGUCCGGCUAAUUACGUGCCAGCAGCCGCGGUAAUACGUAAGGACCGAGCGUUGUCCGGAAUCAUUGGGCGUAAAGGGUACGUAGGCGGGUCACUAAGUUAGAAGUCAAAGGCUAUAGCUCAACUAUAGUAAGCUUCUAAAACUGGAGACCUUGAGUAAUGGAAGGGAAAGUGGAAUUCCUAGUGUAGCGGUGGAAUGCGCAGAUAUUAGGAGGAAUACCGGUGGCGAAGGCGACUUUCUGGCCAUUAACUGACGCUGAGGUACGAAAGCGUGGGUAGC